CGGAACGGGUGAGUAAUGCGUGACCAACCUGCCCCAUGCUCCAGAAUAGCUCUUGGAAACGGGUGGUAAUGCUGGAUGCUCCAACUUGACGCAUGUCUUGUUGGGAAAGUGUUAGUGGCAUGGGAUGGGGUCGCGUCCUAUCAGCUUGUAGGCGGGGUAAUGGCCCACCUAGGCUUCGACGGGUAGCCGGCCUGAGAGGGCGGACGGCCACAUUGGGACUGAGAUACGGCCCAGACUCCUACGGGAGGCAGCAGAA
rnacentral:rRNA from 1 species